rnacentral:lncRNA from 1 species
UUCUAUAUUUAACCUGUAUGUACUGUACAUAACCUGUAAACUAAAAACUACUCAUCUGUGAUUAAACUGUGUUAUUUUUAGGUAAACAAUUAAAGUAAAAAACUAAAGAUAUUAUUUUUAAUAUAAUAAGAAAAAAAAAUAUAUAACUUUGAAUAUCAAGAAUUAUUCAACAUUUAUUACGUAAAGUAUAAUGUAAUCAUAUGAUUUUAUCUGGCAAUCAUAUUACGUGAACACAUAAUAGAUAAUUAUCUUUAUACAAGUAAUAACAUUAUACAAAUAUGGUAUCAAUUCUAUGAAAAAACAAUGUUUUCCAGAAGAAUUUCUAUGCUACAAUAAUUUAGCUGGUCGUAUAACAAUUAUAUAUUGCAUAAAUAAGAUGAACAUAUAGAAUAAUUUCUUUUUUUACUUUAAACAUCGACUAUUCUUUGUGAUAAAUACAUUUUUUGAAUUUAAUUGACAAUCAGUUAAUACUAAGAAUACAAUUAGUAUGUCACACAAGUUGAAAUUACAUUCAGAUCAUAUAAUAUAAGACAAUAUUGUUCUAUAAUUCUAUAUAAUCAUAAUAGUCUUUUUUGAUAUAAUAAUUAACUGCAAUUAUUAAUUUUUAUAGAACAAUACAGAAAGCGUAGUAAUAUAUUAAGCAAAUAUUUAUCUGUUAUUCUUUUAUUCUUAUUGAUAUCAUAUAAAAUCGUAAUUUCAUAAAUGAAAUAUUCCAUUGGGUAGUAAUAAAUAUUGAAAAGGACUACAAGUGCACUUGCCCAUUAUAUCUCAUAAUUGGUAUUUAUAGUUCUCUCGUUAAAAAACGAGACAUAUUAUUAAUACGAUAUUAAAAACAAUGUUACGUUCUUUACAAUUGGCAGUGAUAGCUCUUAUAUGAAAUAUUUUACUUACUUAUAGCAAACCGUAUAAAUGUAUCUACAAUUUUACGAAUCAACAACUCUCGAAAUAAAUAAUUUCACUCGAGUUUCAUUGAUUUUACAAUUUAGUUUAGUUUUAUAUUACUUAUAUACGUCAUUUCUGUGCAAAUAUUUUUUUACUUAACAUUACAACAAUAAUAAAUAAUCACGCUUUUUAUAAAUUUCCCUAUAAAUUAUUCGAGAAAUUAUUUCCUCCUGUUAUAAACGAUUAUAUUAAUGAAUAAAAGUAUUAAAUAAAUAUCUAUCUAUUCCAUUUACAUUUCAAUCUUUUAAUAGUUAUUUUACAAUAAACUAUAAAUAAAAUUAUUAAAAAUGUAUAAUUAUGUAUUUUUUAAAUAUCCCUCCAUUAAGAAAGUACCUAUCAAAUCGAAGAAGAUAGAUGUCGCAGUAUCGAUACUCGAUUUAAUAGACUAGCACAUAGUGUCAUCUAGUUUUAGUGGAGUGAGAGUGUACAAGAAAUUUCUUUGAAAUUCAUUUCUUCGAUUAUUUCUUUUGGAUUUAUUGUUGCUGGUGUGAUUGGCGCUUCAUGCUGAGUGUCGUUUAACACAAAUGUCGUUGUGGGCUCUUCCCGCGAAUUUUGUGCAACUUUUCUGCUUCCUGGAGGAAUAUAAGUCCACCAAGCCAGGAAAAAGAAAAGAAGAGAUGCUGCUUUGCCGAUGAAAGCUAAUGCUAGCAUAUAUCUGAAACAAGUGGCCAUUAGUGAAAUUAUAGAGGACGCCAUAAUCAAGUGUGGAACGAUUUCUACAGAUAUAGAAAUAAUUAAACGAAGAUAUACAAGCAUGGAGAAAUGGAUUAGACUUUCAUAAGCUUGCAUAAGUACGAUAAGAAAUUAUACUGACUUCGACGUUAUUUAGUCGCAUUCCUUGAUAACAUCCUGCAUGACAAGGGGAAUAGUACGUGAUUCCAUCAACUCCGCAUAUUGGACUGAACUCUGAUCUCGAGCAGCCACAGCCAUUAUUGCACGUGUUAUCCAAUGAAAAAGUUUUUCUUAAACAGAAUUUCGCGCGUCCAUACACAUAUAUAAAUAGCAAUCACUUACUUGGUCUGGUUCGAAUAAGGUAUAGUGACUCCCGCAAAGUUUAAAUUCGGACAAUUCAGAACGAAGCACAAAGUGAAGGCGAUGCAGGAUGCGGUGGCUAGUAGACAGAACUUUAAAAUGCCCGAGCAGGGCAAAUUAAAACGCUUUAUGAGGUAACCACCGAGGAAGGUACCUCCACCGCCUGCGGGUACAGUCACCAAACCUGCAAGCAAAAAGAAAAAAAUCUAGGUAAUAAAAUUAGGAUGAAAGGGUAUCUCAUUUCGAAUAGCGUGUUCUCCUCUCGAUGCUAUCGAAAUUUCACGAAAAUCACGUCGAAACAUUAGUCAAUUGUAAAUAUUCCAUACGAAAUAUAAAAACGUCGAGGAUGAUUUAUAUCUCGCGACAUACGUGCGAAUAAUUGAUGGUAACAUAUCGUUCAGUCGAUAUUUUAACGAAAGAGAGAAAGAGAGGGAUAAAAAAUGUUUCGAGAAAGGUAUUUGACGAAAUAUCGUCGAUGAUUACGCGUUGCGAUUGACGAGAGGCGCACGAGGUUGUUUCUCUCGUUUUUUCUCUCUCUCUUUCUUUCUUUCUUUGAUUGAUUACAACAGAAUGCUUGAAUAUUAUUCACCCAUUAGUAACGCGGCGGAACUAGCGCUGACGUUGAAUUGAUUUUCGAUCAGCUUGGGGAGGAAAGCGGCGAAACCGGCGAUAAGCAAUCCUUCACUGGCACCUGCCAGAUUUAACAUGAAAAAGCCAGGAUUACCGAGCAGAUCGG